UACGUAGGGUCCGAGCGUUGUCCGGAAUUACUGGGCGUAAAGAGCUCGUAGGUGGUUUGUCGCGUUGUCCGUGAAAACUCACAGCUCAACUGUGGGCGUGCGGGCGAUACGGGCAGACUGGAGUACUGCAGGGGAGACUGGAAUUCCUGGUGUAGUGGUGAAAUACGUAGAUAUCAGGAGGAACACCGGUGGCGAAGGCGGCUAUCUGGCCUUAUAUUGACGCUGAGAUGCGAAAGCGUGGGGAUCAAACAGG
rnacentral:rRNA from 1 species